AUGCAGCAGCAAGCGCAGGGGGUUUCCAGUGGCAUGUACAGAUACAUGCACCGCUGCGAGAGUGGAGUUAAUAUUCAUGAUGUCUUUGUCGAGAGGAGUGCAUUCCGGGUGCUGUUUUCAUAUGUCGGUGCGAUAUUUCUUCUUGCGAAUGUUUGCCGUACCUUGUUGUCACAGGAGAGUUUAUGCCUUGGUUCCUUUUGGAGUGUUCCGUUUUCUGCUAUCGCCGCUAAAUGCUUGCAAUACAAGCCUGUGAAGAAAGAGUCGUUAAUGAUUAUGCCAAAUUUCGGGAUUCAGCUAGAACAACACUUUUAG
rnacentral:rRNA from 1 species